GGUUGUGGCUCAGUGGUACAGCACUUGCCUAGCAUGUGUGAGGCACUGGGUUCAAUCCCUGGCACCA
rnacentral:tRNA from 1 species